rnacentral:rRNA from 1 species
UACGUAGGGACCAAGCGUUGUUCGGAUUUACUGGGCGUAAAGGGCGCGUAGGCGGCAAUUCAAGUCAUCUGUGAAAUCUCCGGGCUUAACUCGGAACGGUCAGAUGAUACUGCUUUGCUAGAGUACAGAAGGGGCAAUCGGAAUUCUUGGUGUAGCGGUGAAAUGCGUAGAUAUCAAGAGGAACACCUGAGGUGAAGACGGGUUGCUGGGCCGAUACUGACGCUGAGGCGCGAAAGCUAGGGUAGCAAACGGG